rnacentral:rRNA from 1 species
AGAGUUUGAUCCUGGCUCAGGACGAACGCUGGCGGCGUGCUUAACACAUGCAAGUCGAACGGUGAAGUCCCUUCGGGGGCGGAUCAGUGGCGAACGGGUGAGUAACACGUGGGCAAUCUGCCCCUCACUGUGGGAUAACUCCGGGAAACCGGGGCUAAUACCGCAUAUGAAGCCUGGCGGCAUCGCCGGGUUUGGAAAGUUUUUCGGUGAGGGAUGAGCCCGCGGCCUAUCAGCUUGUUGGUGAGGUAAUGGCUCACCAAGGCGACGACGGGUAGCCGGCCUGAGAGGGCGACCGGCCACACUGGGACUGAGACACGGCCCAGACUCCUACGGGAGGCAGCAGUGGGGAAUAUUGGGCAAUGGACGAAAGCCUGACCCAGCGACGCCGCGUGCGGGAUGAAGGCCUUCGGG